rnacentral:rRNA from 1 species
GAUUAUGGCUCAGAUUGAACGCUGGCGGCAGGCCUAACACAUGCAAGUCGAACGGUAACAGAAAGCAGCUUGCUGCUUUGCUGACGAGUGGCGGACGGGUGAGUAAUGUCUGGGAAACUGCCUGAUGGAGGGGGGAUAACUACUGGAAACGGUAGCUAAUACCGCAUAACGUCGCAAGACCAAAGAGGGGGACCUUAGGGCCUCUUGCCAUCGGAUGUGCCCAGAUGGGAUUAGCUAGUAGGG